CAAAUACACAUACUACAGCCCCUAUACACACACAUGCUAAAGCUCCUAUAAACACACAUACUACAGCUCCUAUACACACACACUAAAGCUCCUAUACACAUACACAAACACUACAGCUCCCACACACACACAGAAACACACACGCACACUUUCAUACACAAACACACACACAUACUACAGCCCCUAUACACGCACAUGCUAAAGCUCCUAUACACACACACA